CACGUAGGGCGCAAGCGUUGUCCGGAAUUAUUGGGCGUAAAGAGCUCGUAGGCGGUCUGUUGCGUCUGCUGUGAAAACUCGGGGCUUAACCCCGAGCCUGCAGUGGAUACGGGCAGACUAGAGGUAGGUAGGGGAGAAUGGAAUUCCCGGUGUAGCGGUGAAAUGCGCAGAUAUCAGGAGGAACACCAAUGGCGAAGGCAGCUCACUGGGACGGUAUUGACGCUGAGACGCGAAAGCGUGGGGAGCAAACAGG
rnacentral:rRNA from 1 species